AGGUUCUCAGGAUUAGAUGCAGACAUUUUUGGAGGGCCAUUACUCUGCCUACCCCACUCCUUAAAGACUAUCGAGAAUGGUUUGACUUAAUAAACUGUGGUAUAAUUUUGUAAUUAAUUUCCUGGCAACCAUUAGUAACAAAAAGGUUUAUGACAUGGGAAGAUUGAUACGAUAAAAGGCUGUGUAACAUGAACUCCGUCGUCUCCAACUCCUGGAUUUCUUCCAGGUAGUCAGAUCAAUAAGAAAGACAGCAUGGCUUGCCAAGCGGUGCCAUGUCCGCACCUGGAUCCGAACCAGCAAACCCCGGGCCGCCGAAGCAGAACAUGCACACUUAACCACUAUGCCACCAGGCUGGCCCCUCACAAGCCAGGUCUUAUGAAGACAAGUCCAUACGCAGGUUAUGUCCAUUUCCUCACUUUCCAGUCAUUCUUAAAACCUCUGCAAUGUGACUGUACCCGCCUCAGCAAGGAAGCCACUCCAGCAAGAUCAUCAGUGACCUCCCUAUUGCCCAACCAC
rnacentral:lncRNA from 1 species